rnacentral:sRNA from 1 species
UCCAGGGUGCGAAGUACCACAUUACUGUCAUCUCCCUGUGAGUGGGAUUGGCACCCCGGCUGCAGCUCCAGGAGCAAGUACUCCAGGAAGCACAGAGCUGUACCAGUACACGGCCCACGUUGCCAGGCCCCAGGCAUGGAAGAGCUGAUAUGGGAACAGUACACUGUGACCCUACAAAAGGAUUCCAAAAGAGGAUUUGGAAUUGCAGUGUCCGGAGGCAGAGACAACCCCCACUUUGAAAAUGGAGAAACGUCAAUUGUCAUUUCUGAUGUGCUCCCGGGUGGGCCUGCUGAUGGGCUGCUCCAAGAAAAUGACAGAGUGGUCAUGGUCAAUGGCACCCCCAUGGAGGAUGUGCUUCAUUCGUUUGCAGUUCAGCAGCUCAGAAAAAGUGGGAAGGUCGCUGCUAUUGUAAGUACUGGGUUUGCUUUCAGCUUGCCUUAAUAGCAUUUUGGUUUUUUGCCCAGAAGAAAAUUACCCCUUGCUUUUAAGCAUUUGACAGAAUUACAUAACCUAGGGACCGCUGUUCUUGGAUCCUCAGUACUUUUGGAGGGGUGUGAAGAUAUGUGUAAGUUAUCUUCCUACUUUUCC